rnacentral:rRNA from 1 species
UAUGGCUCAGGAUGAACGCUAGCGGCAGGCUUAACACAUGCAAGUCGAGGGGCAUCGGGAGUAGCAAUACUUGCCGGCGACCGGCGCAAGGGUGCGUAACGCGUGAGCAACAUGCCCGUAUCAGGGGGAUAAUCCAUGGAAACGUGGUCUAAUACCCCAUAGUAAUUAUGUAAGGCAUCUUAUAUAAUUUAAAGCUUUGGUGGAUACGGAUUGGCUCGCGUGACAUUAGCUAGAUGGUAAGGUAACGGCUUACCAUGGCUACGAUGUCUAGGGGUUCUGAGAGGAAGGCCCCCACACUGGAACUGAGACACGGUCCAGACUCCUACGGGAGGCAGCAGUGAGGAAUAUUGGACAAUGGAUGGAAAUCUGAUCCAGCCAUGCCGCGUGUAGGAAGACGGCCCUAUGGGUUGUAAACUGCUUUUGUAUGGGAGCAAUAAGGGCUACGCGUAGUCCGAUGAGAGUACCAUACGAAUAAGCACCGGCUAACUCCGUGCCAGCAGCCGC